GGGAGGUGGAAGUAAGAAUGAUAGAUAUACAGUUGGAUAUCAGAGAUACUAGUUGGUAUUAAUGACCCUGAACAGCCUCACCUGGGACUCUUAACCACUCCACCCAUGAUUCUGGGAGUUCUAUAGCAUCUCUGGCUGGAACAUCUGCCUUAGUCUAACCUGUAAUGAAUGAGAGCUGCUCUGAAAAUGGCAGCAUGCUGACAAAAUGGGAGCUGACACAGAAGUGGGGAUGGAGCAAAGAAAGCUUAAUCAGAGCUUCAUCAAUGAAAAAGGACUGGGAUAAUCUCUAAAGGAUAAUAUAGAGAAAAGAAAGCAUGGACUGUAACACAGCAAGGUAGACUUGGUCUGAGUUCUGACAUCUUGACAAAGAAAGCAGAAUGACUCUAAGUAUGUUCAAGUAUAUUUUAGUGCCUUUGUGAGUGCGUCUUGCAGCUGAGAUACAUUGUUUCUAGUCAAACAUGAGGAUUAGUCUCUAGAUUUUCUAUAGACCUCCUUUUCAUGCAUGCUUUCACCAAGUCUGUUUCCAAGACUUUUUUUUUUAACUGAGAGGUUUGGUGCCUUGAGGAACUGUCAUAAGAUGGAUAUAGUUGUUUUUCAUGUAUUACUAAUCUUGCUACAUUAGAAAUACCCAAAUAUAAUUUUUAAACAUUUUGAACCAAAAAAUAGGCAAAGCUCAGUGUAAAACUUUCAGAUGUCAACUUUGCACCAAAUUUUUUGCCUCUUGUGGAUGUACUCUGGAUCUUGAUGUGAUUGCUUAUGUUUUAUAGGAGUAUAUGUUGAUUACAUACUACCUUUUGUAAUGAAUUUUCUUCUAAGAUCUUAAAAAAAAAAAAUUACAUUAGAAUUGGGUUGUACAAAUCUUGCUCUUUUCCAUAACACUGCAAAAACAAUUUGAUUGUAUAAAUGUUGUAGUUUACUAUUUUCUAGUUUCUAUUAGAUGUCUUGUAUCUUGAGGUUGUCCUUUAAUGUCUGCUUCUUCUUCCCCUGUACCCAGCCAACCUUCAUAUGUACUUCUUACAGCUACUUUUCAGUCCUCAUGUUAAUUCAUAUUUACAUGUUGAAGUUGGCUAACCUUUUCCAUUUGCUAACUUGCUAACCAUCCAGCAGCUCUCAUUGGAUUCUGAGUAAUCAAGUCUUCAAAAAGAUCAGUUUACAUCUCUUACAUCCUGUGAAUAUAGAUUUAAGAAGUUGAAUUCUGAAAACCUUCACAAACACAUACAUUGAAGGUUUUGAGACAGAAAAAGGUUUUCCAAAAGCAUCUGUUUUCUGGGUUGUUUUCAAGAGGUCCUCUCCUGACCCAACACUCUGUUCAUGUAUGCUUCAGUUACUGCAAAUACUGUGUAAAGUUUUACUGCAAACUCUUCUGCUGUGUAUAAUACCUGAAGUAAGAAGCAGGAUUUUGCUGUUAAAUUCAUAAAACUUUUAUGUAAGAGGAAAAAGUAGACUGCCAGUAUAAAGAAAUGGUGUUAGGGGUGAGCAUUGUGUGCUUGUAAGCUAUGCAAGAUGCAUGUGGUCUGUUGCAAUGAGUUCACAGAGCCCUGAGCUAGUGCUGCUCCUGCCAGAACAUCUGUUCUGGCUGGGAGCAUCUAUAAGAAAUGCAACUACCCUGUUCGUCACAAGGUCAAACAUGCUUUCUUAAACCAAAAUGAUUUUUGACAAGAUGGAACACAAUUUGACCAGUUGUUGUACACUGAAAUUUUAAAUUAUGCACAUACUGUGUAUGACAGAUUUAUUUGAAG
ensembl:lncRNA